UUUUCUGACAAAAGUUCCUCCCAGAAAUGCUGCCUCAUUGAAAAUAAGAAUUUAAACCCUGAAUCAUUGGAUUCACUCUGAUUCACUAGAAAUACACCUCUCCUUUUAUCACAUAUUGCAACACCAAAACUCUUCAUCCACAAAAUUACAAUCUAAGUGACGGCCUCCCCACAGGUAACGUGACGGCCCCCACAGGUAACGUGACGGCCUCCCCACAGGUAACGUGACGGCCUCCCCACAGGUAACGGGACGGCCUCCCCACAGGUAGGGACGGCCUCCCCACAGGUAAGGACGGCCUUCCCACAGGUAAGGACGGCCUCCCCACAGGUAACGGGACGGCCUCCCACAGGUAACGGACGGCCUUCCCCACAGGUAACGGGACGGCCUCCCCACAGGUAACGUGACGGCCUCCCCACAGGUAACGUGACGGCCUCCCACAGGUAACGGGACGGCCUCAC
rnacentral:lncRNA from 1 species